AUUCAAUUUUAGCCUUGAACAAUUCUUCCAUGGGAUUUUCAAUGAAUAGGAUUAUAAAAUAUAGAGGCAGAUUGAGCUUGCAAAAAUGUUGUUGGCGGAGGGACAAAGUCAUCUUUUUGUACAUUGGCCUGAACAAGGUGUUAAUGAUGAAGAAAAGAAAAGUUUCUUUGAUCAGGUAACUCGGCUUAAUUCAAGCUAUCUAGGUGGUUUGGCAUCAUAUAUUUGAAAUGCUAGGAAUCUAUUAGCAAAUUCAAAAACAGGGAAAAAUCCAUUUAAUGGCUUUACUCCUUCGGUAAGUGAUUCCAUUAAAUUUGUUUUGCAAUCUGUGUUUCUUGUACAUUUCUGCCAGAAAUUUGUCUUCAAUUUCACUUUUUUUUUUUUUUAAAUGAGAAAGAUUUGCUCUAUGGCUACGGUCGCACUGUGGAUACUCAUCUUUAGCUACGGAUUUCAUCCGUAGCUUUUGACCACUUUUCUGGUC